AAAGGCCAUUUAAUUACCAAAUAUAUAUAAAAACAUUUUGAUUACUUGUUUGGGAAUGCAGCUCAAAAUGGGUGGUAAAUGCCAUCUAAGGCUAAAUAUUGGGGAGAGACCGAUAGCGAACAAGUACAGUGAUGGAAAGAUGAAAAGAACUUUGAAAAGAGAGUUAAACAGUACGUGAAAUUGCCAAAAGGGAAGGGUAGGAGGUCAGAGAUGCGGCCUGGGAUUCAGCCUUGCUUUUGCUUGGUGUUUUUCCCAGAUUGCAGGCCAACGUCGGUUUUGGGCACUGGAGAAGGGUAGGAGGAACGUGGCACCUCUCGGGGUGUGUUAUAGCCUCCUACUGGAUACAGCGACCGAGACCGAGGACAGCAGCGUACUCGCAAGAGCGGGCCUUCGGGCACCUUUACGCUUAGGGCGUUGGCAUAAUGGCCCUCU
rnacentral:rRNA from 1 species